UUCGAGUGGCGGACGGGUGAGUAACGCGUGGGUAACCUGCCUUACACAGGGGGAUAACACCUGGAAACAGGUGCUAAUACCGCAUAAGCGCACAGGGCCGCAUGGCCCGGUGUGAAAAACUCCGGUGGUGUAAGAUGGACCCGCGUCUGAUUAGCUUGUUGGCGGGGUAGGGGCCCACCAAGGCGACGAUCAGUAGCCGGCCUGAGAGGGUGGACGGCCANAUUGGGACUGAGACACGGCCCAAACUCCUACGGGAGGCAGCAG
rnacentral:rRNA from 1 species